rnacentral:tRNA from 10 species
CGCCCGGCAGCCACACCCUCUGAGAAGGGCCCAACCAAUAAACCUAAGAUGGGUAGAAGGAAAAGGUAUUUUUCUCCCCUACAGUUUCUUUUCUUUUUGUUUUUCUUUUGUUUUUUUUUGGUUGUGUGUUUCAAACAGAUAUAAAAUACCUAUUACACAAAAAUUUAAAACUACCAAUUUGUUAAACUUAGAAAAGAUACUGAUUUGUAACUAAAAAAAAAAAACCUUUACAUUUUUAUUUCUCAAGGUAGCUUACCUCUACUUUCUGAAAGUUGUAAAAUUUUUGGUUUAAAAAUUGUCACUCUAUGAUUGUCCCAAUUUGUUUUUCUAUGCCAUGACAAAAACAAAAUACUUUCAAAAUGUUCUGAGCAUUUAAAUGAACAUUUAAGUGUAUGUAAAUAAACUUAUUUAAGUAACUUUUAUGUUGGUAAUAAACCAACACAUGCAUUAAAUACCUCUUCAGCGUAAACAGGAAAUACUGAUGACGAUGCCAGCAUGGAACUGUCAAUUCACAUUACAGCACAAUUAAUAAUCAAUCUGACUAGUUUAGUGAUAUUUAAAGGACACAAUUAGUCACUAUAUCUGCCAGAAUAAUUGAAUAUGUUAACAUUCUCCUCGCGUAAAUACCAAUUUCAUUAUCUCAUAUCUUUCUCUUUACUCGUCUCCAGAUAGCAAUAGCCCUCCCUGUGUGGGUCAUGUAGAAAUGACCCAGAACUUGUUGGUCUAAUAUUUUCGGUCUAAUUCUUUCCAACCUUUGGUAAACUUAGAAAGCCUGCAGGGAUCUCAUAUUGAUGAUUUUCAAUCUUUUAAUUGUGAUAGUCUUUUUGUUAUUCUGUCUUUUCACCUUCCUUUGCCUGUCCAUCUAUAAUUUUCAAUUCAAGUUUAUAUCAGUCUCUUUCUUGAAACCUGGAGAUUUCAUCAGCCACAGAUUUCCUUUUUUUUUUUUUUUUUUUUUUUUUUGCCUUUUCCUUUAUUUCCUUUUCAAGCCUCAAAAAUUCUUCCUGUUUUUACUUCUGCUGGGUAUUACUUUCAGGUAGUAAUUUUAGUUUACAUUGACAUUGAUGGUUUUUUUGCCACUUUGUCUCUUUCUCUUCUUCCUCUUUUAGCUUCCUUAAAAUAUAAGCAUAUUUAAUUGACACUUAAAUAUUUUUCUGUUUUUUCUAAGCUUCAAUCACCAAUUUGGUUUUUUUGCUCCUCUUUUUGCUUGUGAUUACAUUCUUGUUUACUUUGAGGAAGGACUGGCUUAUCCUUCAUCUUUCCCUUUAACUUGAAAGUAUUCUCCCUGUUUGCUGUUUUUUAGUUUUCCAAUUUUGAAUAGAUUUUUUUUCCUCUCUUCUAGAGUCAGACAUUUUUAAUGUAUCUUUCAUACUGUUGCACUUUAUCCUGUGCUUUUCCAGGAUGGUGUUGCAAAACUUUCCCUAUAUAUCUUGUCUUCUUUUUAUGUUUGUUUCUCAUUUUUACAAAGUUCUGGUGAUCACAAUCAUCCAGCACCCUUGACAUCCUCCUGUUUACUGAAGGAAUUUUGCAAAAUCUACCAUUUCUCCUGGAAGACUACUUUGUUGUAUUCUGUCUACAGGAACUUUGCUUAACAUUCCUCUGAAAGUUCUCCAUGUUUCUAGUGACCCAAAGCCCAUAUGUCAAUUUUCCUUGAUACAGUAUUCAACUAAUUUUUGGCUAUUUUCUUGUCUUUAUUAAGCUUUUCAUGUAAUCAACCUCUGUUCUUUCUUAAAACUGUUUACUGUAUUUUUAAUUGCUUAGGUUCAUUUCUCUGAGCUUUGCAACAAAAUCAGGUGUAGGUGUCACACUUUAUAACUGAUGCUAAAGUCACUUUACAUUGUUAUAUAUUUUGAACAACUGUUAUUGGGUUUUUGCUCUAUUUUCCUGCUGAUAAUCAAUUUAUUUUCCAAUUCUUUCAGCACACUGCCAAAUUCUGAAGUUUUGUUGUUGUUGUUGUUGUAGAGAUGACUCUAUGUUAACAAUUUGAUUUUUAAUUUUUACUGCUGUACAUAUGAACUUUGUUUUCUUAGUUUGAAUAGCUCUCUGGUUCCAGUUUGAAGCUGAAAAGGUUAAAUUCUACCUGAAGGAUGAAAACAACCAACAUUCUGUGCCAAGACAGUCAGGAGGGCAACCAUGUUUCCUGGUGGAGCCUCUGGAACCACUCAAGCCAAGAUGACCGGGGGUUUGGCUGGGAGGAGAUGGGGAAACUACAGACCCUACAGAUGGUUUCCUGUACCAUGAGGUUAAGCCUGGGGGCAGGAGAGGCUGUACCUUAGUUCCUUCAUCUGUAAAAUAAAGUAACAUAGUACCUACCUCAUAAGGGUGUUCUAAUGAUUGAACUUAUUAUACGUAAACUUUGAACAGUUUGUGGCUCAGAUUAUUAUUUCUAGUUUCUCAGAUCAGUUUUUCUGUAUUUUGACCUUGCUUAUUCUUUUGAAUGCUGCUGACAGUUCUCACAUUUCUCUUUAUCCUUUGUUGUCCAGCCAGGUUUUAAAAAGAAGGUGUAGAUCACUAGGGUUUCUUUCCUCUGCUGUUGCAUGAGUAGGAUUAUUUUCCUUCUAGGUCUCUGUAAGAAGAGUUUUGACCGAGAACUUCAUGCACUCUGUUGAAAUGGAGCACAUCUGCUAUAAAACUUCACUUUAGGGGCUGAUGAGCAGGAACUGAAUGUCAAGCUAUAGAUCCCUAAAUAAGGUUGGCUUUCAUAUGCCCUAUAUCCUUUUCAAGAUUUCAGUUAAUAGGGCAUUAAAUGGGAGUAGUGAUGAUACACUAAAGUGGUAGAUAUUGUGAAAAGAAUGUAUAGAGUACAAUAAAAUCUUUACAUAAGUUCUGCACUUGACAAGGGAGAAGAAUCAAUUGCUUAAUUAAAAGUGAAAUGUUUUUAUCACUUUGAGAUAAUGCCCUAGGAUGAUUUUGAAAGUGACAUGUAGUUGACUCUCUAGAAUUGAGAGUAAUUCUAGAAUCAUUAUGAUAUUUUUUUGUGCAUCCUUUAAUUUUAUUUAAUAGGACAAUAGAUUUUUAUUUCCCCCAGGCCGAGGCAAUGGAGUAUCUUUGAGUAAUCUGCAAGCUGGUCCAAAGGGAAUAACAAAGGAGGAAAUAUUCUUCGUAAACAAGCCCUGCAACCCAAAAGUGGAGUAAGAAUUUCCUGUCCCAGUCUUAGGAGAUGGUCAAAAGCUCUGCAUAUUUCUCCACUGAAUUAGAUUUCAUAACUUCCUGUGAUGUCAUUUGCUAUUUUUCCCCUGGCUUGAGUUAGGACUUCCCUUUCAGAGUUUUGUCAACCCAGUUUUCUUUAGACCACUUUAGAAGCAAGAAUAUCUACUACAGAUUCAUGAAAAGAGCACUGAAUAAGAAGUUAGGAUAAGUGGAUUUCUAAGGCCAAUUUUCCUUCUUACAAUUUGACUUCAGAAACGAGUACUCAUACCAAGCUCACAUUUCCUAAAUAAUUCACAUUCUUGAAAGGUAGAAAGAGCUGUCUUACGAAAUGGUGUGUUUCCUGUCAUUGAAAGUAUGCCAAAAGAUGCUUGAAAACCACUUCUUAAGACUCUUGUGCAAUUUUCAUAUAAUAAGAUUAGACUUGAUGGUUCUAUAAAAAAAACUCUCUGAAUCUUGAAACUCAAUGAUUCUGUGCUUUAGUUCUAUGAAGAGAAGAGAAGCAGGGAGGGAAUGAUGAAGGGAUCUAGCAUAUCUAUUCAGCCUUGUGUGGAUUUCAGCCUUGGUCUCUGGAGAUGCUUCAAGCUUCCUAAAGUGGUACUUCUGCCUGUCCAUUCUGACUCC